rnacentral:rRNA from 1 species
CUACGUGCCAGCAGCCGCGGUAAUACGGAAGGUCCAGGCGUUAUCCGGAUUUAUUGGGUUUAAAGGGAGCGUAGGCUGGAGAUUAAGUGUGUUGUGAAAUGUAGACGCUCAACGUCUGAAUUGCAGCGCAUACUGGUUUCCUUGAGUACGCACAACGUUGGCGGAAUUCGUCGUGUAGCGGUGAAAUGCUUAGAUAUGACGAAGAACUCCGAUUGCGAAGGCAGCUUACGGGAGCACAACUGACGCUGAAGCUCGAAGGUGCGGGUAUCAAACAGGAUUAGAUACCCUGGUAGUCCGCACAGUAAACGAUGGAUGCCCGUUGUUAGUUCACUUAUGAAUUAGCGACCAAGCGAAAGCAUUAAGCAUCCCACCUGGGGAGUACGCCGGCAACGGUGAAACUCAAAGGAAUUGACGGGGGCCCGCACAAGCGGAGGAACAUGUGGUUUAAUUCGAUGAUACGCGAGGAACCUUACCCGGGCUUGAAUUGCAGACGAACGAUUCAGAGA